GCCUAAUGGAUAAGGCGUUUGACUUCAAAUAGGCGAUUGUGGGUUCGAGUCCCAC
rnacentral:tRNA from 1 species